GAUGAACGCUGGCGGCGUGCCUAAUACAUGCAAGUCGAGCGAACAGACAAGGAGCUUGCUCCUCUACCGUUAGCGGCGGACGGACGAGUAACGAGUGGAUCAGCUACUUCUAAGACUGGGAUAAUUUCGGGAGACAGGUGAUACUAAUAGCGAAUAUAUUGAACCGCAUAGUUCAAUAGUGAAUGAGGGCUUUGGCGUACCUUUUAGAUGACUCCGCGCCGCAUUAGCUAGUUGGUAAGGUAACGGCUCACCAAGGCAACGAUGCGUAGCCGACCUGAGAGGGUGAUCAGCCACACUGGAACUGAGACACGGUCCAGACUCCUACGGGAGGCAGCAGUAGGGAAUCUUCCACAAUGGGCGAAAGCCUGACGGAGCAACGCCGCGUGAGUGAUGAAGGUCUUCGGAUCGUAAAACUCUGUUAUUAGGGAAGAACAAAUGUGUAAGUAACUAUGCACGUCUUGACGGUACCUAAACAGAAAGCCACGGCUAACUACGUG
rnacentral:rRNA from 1 species